UUUCCGUAGGUGAACCUGCGAAAGGAUCAUUCAUAAUAAGUGUUUUAUGGCACUUUUUUAAAUCCAUAUCCACCUUGUGUGCAAUGUCAGGGUUGAUUUUUCUCUCGAGAGGAUCAACCCCAAACAUCAACUAUAUCUCAACUCUUUGUCUGAAAAAUACUAUGAAUAAAACAAUUCAAAAUACAACUUUCAACAACGGAUCUCUUGGCUCUC
rnacentral:misc_RNA from 1 species